GACGAACGCUGGCGGCAUGCCUAACACAUGCAAGUCGAACGAGACCUUCGGGUCUAGUGGCGCACGGGUGCGUAACGCGUGGGAACCUGCCCUUAGGUUCGGAAUAACUCCCCGAAAGGGGUGCUAAUACCGGAUAAUGUCUUCCGACCAAAGAUUUAUCGCCUUGGGAUGGGCCCGCGUUGGAUUAGCUAGUUGGUAGGGUACAAGCCUACCAAGGCGAGGAUCCAUAGCUGGUCUGAGAGGAUGAUCAGCCACACUGGGACUGAGACACGGCCCAGACUCCUACGGGGGGCAGCAGUGGGGAAUAUUGGACGAGGGGCGAAAGCCUGAUCCAGCAAUGCCGCGUGAGUGAUGAAGGCCUUAGGGUUGUAAAGCUCUUUUACCCGGGAUGAUAAUGACAGUACCGGGAGAAUAAGCGCCGGCUAACUCCGUG
rnacentral:rRNA from 1 species